GAUGAACGCUGGCGGCGUGCCUAAUACAUGCAAGUCGAGCGAACAGACGAGGAGCUUGCUCCUCUGACGUUAGCGGCGGGCGGGUGAGUAACACGUGGAUAACCUACCUAUAAGACUGGGAUAACUUCGGGAAACCGGAGCUAAUACCGGAUAAUAUAUUGAACCGCAUGGUUCAAUAGUGAAAGACGGUUUUGCUGUCACUUAUAGAUGGAUCCGCGCCGCAUUAGCUAGUUGGUAAGGUAACGGCUUACCAAGGCGACGAUGCGUAGCCGACCUGAGAGGGUGAUCGGCCACACUGGAACUGAGACACGGUCCAGACUCCUACGGGAGGCAGCAGUAGGGAAUCUUCCGCAAUGGGCGAAAGCCUGACGGAGCAACGCCGCGUGAGUGAUGAAGGUCUUCGGAUCGUAAAACUCUGUUAUUAGGGAAGAACAAAUGUGUAAGUAACUAUGCACGUCUUGACGGUACCUAAUCAGAAAGCCACGGCUAACUACGUGC
rnacentral:rRNA from 1 species